rnacentral:misc_RNA from 1 species
AUGCCAAUGGUCAUUUAUUAUCUGAUCUAUUAUCAUCUUAUCUCUGCCUUCUUGAGGAUGAUAAUACUGAUGCUCGUCUUGGAGCACUAAAGGCUCUUGCCAUUUUUGAUAAUCCCCGAAUAACAAAACAAAUCUCCUACGUGGCCGAUCAUGACGUAUCGGAUGACGUCAGACGCUUUGCCACGUCAAUGUUACGUGGAUUCGAGGAGGAAGUCACGCGGAUUUAA